rnacentral:rRNA from 1 species
UACAGAGGUCUCAAGCGUUGUUCGGAUUCAUUGGGCGUAAAGGGUGCGUAGGCGGCGCGGUAAGUCGGGUGUGAAAUCUCGGAGCUUAACUCCGAAACUGCAUUCGAUACUGCCGUGCUUGAGGACUGGAGAGGAGACUGGAAUUACGGUGUAGCUGGUGAAAUGCGUAGAUAUCGUAAGGAAGACCAGUGGCGAAGGCGGGUCUCUGGACAGGUUCCUGACGCUGAGGCACGAAGGUCAGGGGAGCAAACGGG